CGAACCAUUGCUAGUAACCGCUAAAGACGUUCUACAAAAAAAAGGGAUCCUUUCUGCCCGAGUUUACGACUCGUUCUUUCACCGAGCUUUCAGCCCGAAUGCCCAUUUACAAGUCUUAAUUCAAACUCUGCAGUAACGAUUUUGUGCUUAAUUACGUUGAAAUGGGGAGUAUUGAUGGGAUUGUGGAACAGGGAGCGUACGAUGUGGAGGAUACUAUAUUUGUUGCGGUGGGGAAGAAUGUUGAGAAGAGUAAAACGACACUAUUUUGGGCUGUUCAGAGCUUUGCAGGGAAGAAUAUAUGCGUGCUCCAUGUUCAACGGCCUGCGAAUGCUGUUUCAUUGACUGACAGGAAACUUGCUGUGACAAAACCGCAACAAGACACUUUUAGUGCAUUCCAUGAGCUUGAAAAGAAAAAAAUGCUGGAUGUUCUAAAUCAAUACUGUCUCAUUCUUGCCCAAGAAGGGGUUCGAGCAGAUAAAGUAUGGAUUGAGAUGGAUAAUAUUGAGAAAGGGAUUGUUGAGAUUAUUGCUCGGUACAACAUUAGAUGGCUUGUAAUGGGGGCAGCAGCUGAUAAGUACUAUUCAAAGUAUGAAUGCUUAACAAUGUUGCUUAUUGUUCAGUGUCAUCAUGAUGCUGCAUUACUUUUAAGACAUUUGAAUAGGUUCUUGUUGGGGGCCUUCUUCAUCUAGCAUAGCUGAUGUAGAGUUAUCAUAACUCCCUACCAUUUUCAAACCUUAAUAAAGAGUUUGUUGCUAUUGCAGGAAAUUGGAAGGGAUAAAAUCCAAGAAAGCAAUGUUUGUGCACCAACAUGCACCUAUUUCUUGUCAUAUCUGGUUUGUUUGCAAGGGUUGUCUAAUCUAUACAAGGCAUGUUUGACAUCAUAAAAUGUUUUCUUUUCUCAUUUAAUUUGCUUAUAACUGCAGGGGUUCAAGAGCCAUUUUCUUGGAUCAAUUUCUGAGUGUUUUCUUGCAGUUCAUGGUCUAUCAGUAUAUAAUUGUGGAAUUUCCAAUCUUGAAUUGUUGUUCUAUCAGCAUGUUCUGUUCAAUAACAAACAAGUUGGAGGUUGGGGCCACUAUGUUAGUCUAACCACAGUUACAUAGUGGAAAAUUUGCAUUUAAUAUGCAUUAGGGCACCAUUUUUCAUCUGAUUAGCAUUAACUUGGUGUAUGAAUACUAACCAAUUUUCAAGGAUACAUUCCAUGGAGUUUUUAGUUCUUAAAAAAAAAAAGGUAGUUGUCCUUAGUCAUAUGCCUUCUAUAAAAUGUCUGAUAGAAUAAUUUUAAUUUGAGUUAAUAUGAAGUUCAGUUUUGUUUAGGUUGUCUUCCCUGUUGUGCUUUAUUCUAAUUUUUCCAUUAAUUUGAUGCAUCCAUCAAUAUAACUAUCACUGCUGCUUAUUAAAGGAACAAAUGAAAACAGGGAUGGUAGAAAGGACAGAUUGCUGCUGACAAAUUCAGAUUCAGGAAUUGAGCAAUCAGAGCACUUGAGAUUGGGAUCAUAUGAACAAACCCAUAGAUCUCUAGGUAGGUGUACUAACUAACAAGGUUAUUACUUUCAUGGCAAGAUUUGUUAGGUGUGGUUCUUAUAUGGAGAUUGUCAAGGAAUUAUUUUCUUAAAGCAGUGCUAGAUUAAUAACUUUGUCAUAGAGAUGUUGCGCAGAUGCUGAUGACUUCAAAGGAAUAUUAGAAGGAUUCAAUUAUCAGUGUACAGUGAAUUCUAGCCAAUCAAGCAAUAUAGCCCUUAGCACUUCCAAAAUGAUGCCAUUUCUGGCAGAUGAGGUUAGAAAAACUAGUUCUUAUUACCUUAGUUCUCAACUCUCUGAAUGAUCUUUAUUAUUCGUUCUUAUUAUUGUGGCAUAAUGAGGUUUCAGUAUGAUAAACAAAUUUUAUCUCACAUGCUCAUAUUUUUCCUAAGAUGAGACAAGGGAGAAACCCUUUGAACAUUGUAGCAUUAUUGAAAUAUUUGUGCAUCAUUUAGUUAGUUGCAUCACAAAAUUGAUCUCCUAGAGAGAGUUAAGGAGAGAAGUCUCACAGGUUCAGAAUAUAUUUUAUUAUCUGCUCUUUUCUUCAUAGACGUCAUUAGGGCCAGUGGUUGAUAUGUUGCCUUUCCAGUUUAAACUAUUUGAUGAGGCUAUUAUGGCUGUAGCUUUUGCAGGAAGAAAACUCUCAAGGACUAACAACAGAAAAUGCUUCUCAUAUACUAGAACUAGCAAUUCUCGAUGCUAAAGACUCAAAACAAAAGGCAUUUGGAGAGGCAGUGAAGCGAUGGAAAGAGGAAGACGAUGCUAUGGAGGCCAAAUGCAAGGCAAAUAAAUCUUAUGAUAUUCACUUAUUCUCUUUUCUUCUCUCAUUUCUAUUGGGUUGCUGAGGUUAUUAGGAUAUUAAAUUAUUGCCCUAAAGUUUAUUAGAUUUUAUUGCCUGAAAAACUGGAAAUAAUUCCAUGUUGUAACACAAACUUUAGUAAUUAGAAUUAUCCAUACCUCAAUAGAGGCUCAAAUCCAUAACCCCACUCUUCCAGAAUAUCUUUUUUACAUGGACAAAUCCUCUUAUAUCUUUUACACUCUAUUUGUCCCAUAAGAUAUACUAAUUCAACUAUGAGAAGUGUAUACCCUAGAUGUUCAACUUUUUUGGUUAAUUGGGACGCCAGAUGAGAGGCAUGAUUUAGAACAUCUAGAAGGCACAAAGAGGAAAAGAGGAAGACCCAGAAAAACACAUACUGAAACAGUAUAUAUGGACAUGACUUAUGGCAAAUUAAUAGUGUACAUCUCUCGAAGUGGAAUGGAAGGGCACAAAAAGAUUCUGGCAGCCUACCCAAUUUUGUUGGGAUUAAGGUGUGGUUUUGUCAAGUUCUGGAUGGUAGACUUGUGUUCCUCCCAAAUCUAAUGACUAAGAAUACAAAAAAAUGAGAUGCCCUACCAUGAAUUAUUUUUUUCUGUUGUUUCAUAAAUAUGAGAAUCAAUGGUCUGGUUAAGUUAUAUUGCCCUUAACAAAGGUCUGGGAAACUACAUUCUGAGUGGAAUCAAGUGAUGCAAAAAAAGGUGUUUUUGGGCUUGUGCAUGCAUGUAUACCUAUAUCACUAAAUUAACUUCGUUCUGACCACAAACCUUGUUGGCUUGUUAUCCUUUUACAGGCAAAGGCAUUAGAAAACUUGUGCAUCAAGGAGAUGAGCCUAAGAAAAGAGAUGGAGGGAGUAUUGGCAAGAGAAAAGCAAGAAAUUGAAAGGACAAAGAAUCAACGUAAUGAAUUUAUGAAAGAACUCCAGGUGGUACAGGAGCAGAAGUCUGAACUUGAGAGCCAACUUGCAGAGUCCAAUUGUAAUGUGAAGGAUUUGGAGGAGAAAAUCAUUUCAGCUGUGGAACUUUUGAUAAGUUUCAAGGAGAGGAGAGAUGCAGCACGGAAAGAGUAUGAAAGUGCAAUAAGGGAAGUUAAUAGGCUAAAGAAAUUGUCCAAAAUGGAAGCUGGGAGCUUUUGUAGGUCUGAAAUCCUUGAAUUCUCUUUCAUGGAGAUCAAUCAGGCAACUCAGGAAUUCGAUCCUUCCUGGAGGAUUGGAGAGGGAAGAUAUGGAAAUGUCUUCAAAGGGAUCCUUCGCCAUGUUCAUGUUGCCAUCAAGAUGUUACCCUCUUACGGCUCUCAGAGCCAGUUAGAUUUCCAAAAUGGGGUAACACUAUCAUUUUAUAAUAGUAUAAAUCAUCAUAAUACUAUCUUUUUUGUUCAUACACCUCAUAAAUAAUUAAUGGUACCAUUUAUUAUAGUGGAUUUGUGUUGGAGUUAUCUAUAGAAAUUUUGUUCAUUUAAAAAUUCGGUACAUGGUUCUAAUGGGAUGUUCAUGGUGCAUUUGAGGUGGUGCCUUCUCCACUUAUCUGGCAAGCCUCUGGAUUUGUUCUCUCAAAUUCUCCUUUACUACAUAAAUAGGUGCUACUGUUCAGCAAUUUUCUUAAGAUUAACCGAUUCAACUUUUACAACAGACAGAAUGAAAGCAGUUGACCCUAAAAGUAUUUGUUAAGGAAGAAUAAUCAAGAUGUUAAUCUGAGUCCUACCAGGUUAAGGCUUUAUUUAUCAUGCAUCUUGCCAGACUUGUAUGUGUAUUUUGUGUGAGCAAUGAAAUGUGGUAUCAAGUGGUGGAUUUAAAGUAUCCUUUCGAUAUUUUUUGUUCAACUCAUAUUAUUUUUGUUGGUCAAAUUUCAGGUAGAGAUUUUGAGUAGGGUGAGGCAUCCACACCUGAUAACUUUAAUCGGAACUUGCCUGGAGUCUAGGUCACUGGUCUAUGAGUACGUCAGAAAUGGAAGUCUUGAAGAUUGCCUUGAAUGCAAAAAUAAGAGGUUCCCACUUCCAUGGCAAACUCGGAUAUGCAUAGCUACUGAGAUAUGCUCUGCUCUUAUCUUCCUUCAUUCCAACAAGCCUUGUAUCAUACAUGGAAAUUUGAAACCAUCAAAAGUCCUCCUUGAUGCUAACUCUGUCAGCAAAAUCAACGAUUUUGGCAUCUCUUAUUUGAUUUCACGAGGAAAAAUGGGACACACCAUUCCAAUGUAUAAUGACUCUAAAACCAAUUUCACAUCUGUGUAUACUGAUCCACAAUAUCUAGAGACAGGGACGCUUACUCCAGAGUCAGAUAUUUACUCAUUUGGAAUUAUACUUUUGCGACUUUUGACUGGGAGACCAGUUUCAGGAUUGGUGAAAGAUGUAAAAUGUGCAUUAGAAAAAGAGAACGUCAGAGCACUUUUGGAUUGUUCUUCUGGGGACUGGCCAGCUGGGCAAGCUGAACUGCUAGCUAGAUUGGCAUUGAACUGCUGUGAGAAUAAUCGAUUAAAUCGCCCGGACCUUGUGUCAGACAUCUGGAGUGUGCUUGAGCCAUUGAGAGUUUCAUGUAUUGAUUCAGCAUGCUGCAGAAGUUCCAAGGAGCUGCACCGGCGGAUUCCUUCCCAUUUUGUCUGUCCCAUUUUCCAGGUAAUAAUCUCAAACAUGUUUGAAACAUUUUAUAUUAAGCUGGUUCAGCUUUACUAGAGUAGCACAGUCAGGUGGUGGGUUCUGUUGCGCUUCUAUCCCUUCAUGGUUUUCCAGUAAAUAGUCCCAAAAUACAUUUUCGCAAUGGAAAGAAGCAAAUUGUGAAGUGCUCUUGCAUUUUUAAUGUUUUACACUUUGCACUACGAAGUGCUCUGCAUGUGUUUGUAGUGGAAGAAAAAGAGUUUCAAUGGAAGGAAAGUUGCAUUAAUUUGAAGAAUGCUUAGCACAACUUGAUCAUGGAUUGGUGUAUCCUGAACAUAUGCAGAUUUGCUUGCUCAAACCCGUCCCUUCUACCUCUGGUGUCGUGGGCAGGCAACUAGAAUUUAUUUUCAUUAUCAUCAUAUUUCUUAUGAUCAUGGCUACUGUAUUUGGAUUUGCAGGAAGUCAUGAAAGAUCCACAAAUAGCGGCGGAUGGUUUCACAUAUGAUGCUGAGGCUAUUAGAGGAUGGCUGAGAAGUGGCCACAAUACUUCCCCCAUGACAAAUCUUAAACUUGCGCACUGCAGCCUACUCCCUAAUCAUGCUCUUCAUCAGGCAAUUCAAGAGUGGCAGCAACGUUGGUGAAUUUUUAUUAUUAUAUGAGAUGAGAUGUAUGCACAGUUGGGAGCUUUGUACUUUAACCACUGCAGACCUUGAUACCCAUUAAAAUUAAACAUAACAUGAUGUAUAGAGCAACAGCACGCUGUUUUGUACAGAACCACAUAUAUUUGAAAAGUAAUUCCAAUACACAUCUGCUUAUAGUGUUU
rnacentral:misc_RNA from 1 species